UAGAAAGCAAUGACAGCAGCUCCGUGGACGUGGACGUCCUACCCAUGGCAGACCAUCCACAUGGGAGGAAGCCACGAGAGAGAAAGGAUUCCUACCUUGUACUUGGAGAUGAGACCACCGGGGCUCUGUUUUUGUGCAAGUAACUGUUCAGCUGUCCUCAUGCACAACUCAAGUUCCUUCUGGGACUCCUCCACCUUCCGCCUGCUGUCUGACUCUGGUGACACAACGGUCUUCAAUGCUGCAGCAAGUUUUACCAUGGUGAUCUGUAAAGACAACAAAACAAAACAAAAAGCUCAAAAUUGGCCCAACUUCUGAGUACAUUUAUAAGCUACCAAAUGUUUUCUUCCAGUAGAAAUUUAUAUUUUUCCAGGAAACA
rnacentral:lncRNA from 1 species